rnacentral:rRNA from 1 species
CCCCCUUCGGGGGGACAGGGUGACAGGUGGUGCAUGGUUGUCGUCAGCUCGUGUCGUGAGAUGUUGGGUAAGUCCCGCAACGAGCGCAACCCUCGACCUUAGUUGCCAGCAUUCAGUUGGGCACUCUAAGGUGACUGCCGGCUAAAAGUCGGAGGAAGGUGGGGGAUGACGUCAAAUCAUCAUGCCCCUUAUGACCUGGGCUACACACGUGCUACAAUGGGCGGUACAAAGGGUCGCGAACCCGCGAGGGGGAGCCAACCCCAAAAAGCCGCUCUCAGUUCGGAUUGCAGGCUGCAACUCGCCUGCAUGAAGCCGGAAUCGCUAGUAAUCGCGGAUCAGCAUGCCGCGGUGAAUACGUUCCCGGGCCUU